UUGCUUCAGCAGCACAUUUACUAAAACUGUAACAAUACCGGGAAGAUUAGCAUGGCCCCUGCACAAAGAUGGCACACAAUUCAUGAAGCGUUCCAUAUUUAA